AGGGAAAUAGCUCAGUGGUAGAGUGUGUGCUUAGCAUGCACAAGGUCCUGGGUUCAGUUCCCAGUAUCUCCA
rnacentral:tRNA from 1 species